rnacentral:ncRNA from 2 species
AGGUGGGGUAGAGGUUGCGGGCAACAAGAGUAUCCUGGUGAAGAAACCGGGUUUUCAAUGAAGCCAGGGGAAAGGGUUGUCCGCCGAAGUUCAACCGGUGCCCGGAACGGUUGGGCUGGGCCGUCACCGAACAGGUGCCGGACUGUCACCCGGUGGUUGCCCUGCUGCCGGGUGGAGCGCUAUCUCACCA